UACAAAACUUCUUAGGUCGGUUAGCGUUGCCACCUGACUUAAGAAGUGACGCGGUGGUAGUUGUGUAAUUAUUUCUAACUUUGUUAGGUCUGUUAGCUAUUAACCCGACUUAACAUAACUGACAAAAAAAAUAAAUUUAAUUUCUAUAUGUGUUUGGAGAGUAUCGAACUGACGACACCCAUGAUAUCAAACUAACCAAAGACUUGUUUUGUUUUUUUUUUUACAAAAAACUAACCAAAGACUUUGUUUUCCAAAAUAUAUAUAUAUAUAUAUAUUUUUAAUUUUUUUUUAUUAAUUCCAAUAUUCAUCAUGAGAAAACAAAUUAACAAAAAAAAAAUCAAAUUAACCCUUUCUCGUAUUCCAGAAAUCUCGUCGCCGCUUACCCUUCUUCAUCUUCACCGCUUAAACCCAUAAAUCUUCUCUUCACCGUCAAACUUCACCUUCAUCAAACUCGAACCAUUCAUCUUCAUCUUCAUCUUCAUCUUCUUCACUGCUCAAACCCUCCUAUUGUAUGAUUCUUUGUGCUUUAUGACAGAUUUAACUCCAAUAGGAGAAAUAUGUUAUCAUUUUAACUUUUAUUUCUCACUUUUUAAGCUUACAUUUCAAACUUCAGAGAAACUAAGGUUUCUGAACAAUCCUUACUCACAAGUAUUUUCUCUCUCUGCUGAAGAGCAAUUGAAGAGCACUAAUAAACUAUAGGCAGUUUAGAAUUCAAGGAUUAGAGACAACCACGUUAAGGUAUCUCUUUUAUUUUUAUUUUUAUAUUAGCUAUGUAUGAUAAACAGCUUAAUUGAUAUGUUAUUUACUUCUACUUGUACAAUUGUAUACAAAUUAGCUAUGUAUGAUUUUAUAAUAUGAUUAUAUGAUACCUUUGCUUCUAGAGUUUUGUGGUUUUUUUAUAUGGAUAAUGCUACCUUGUCUCUACUAAAUUGGGGCUGGUCGUCCUUUUAUAAUGUGAGAUAUUUAGUUUUGUAUACUGUGUUUCAAUUAUAUGGACAUGUACUUAAGUAAGCACUAGGACUGUGUUUGUAUUCUCUCUUUUUUUUUUUUUUAAUGCNNNNNNNNNNNNNNNNNNNNNNNNNNNNNNNUUUUUUUUUUAAUGCGUGUUUGUAGUCUCUUUGUAAAUGAAGGUUUUGUAAUUAUAGAUUUAUAGUUAUUACUUUAUUAAUUAGCAUAUAAAUGGUGGUUGAUUGUUUGGGUUUUUAUUCUGACUAUAACUAGGAUUGGCUAUUAUGUUUUAAGGUUGCAGCUUACUAUACUAC
rnacentral:lncRNA from 1 species